rnacentral:rRNA from 1 species
UGGGGAAUCUUGGACAAUGGGCGCAAGCCUGAUCCAGCCAUGCCGCGUGGAUGAUGAAGGCCUUAGGGUUGUAAAAUCCUUUCGUGGGGGACGAUAAUGACGGUACCCCAAGAAGAAGCUCCGGCUAACUUCGUGCCAGCAGCCGCGGUAAUACGAAGGGGGCUAGCGUUGUUCGGAUUUACUGGGCGUAAAGCGCGUGUAGGCGGGUCGUUAAGUUGGGGGUGAAAUCCCGAGGCUCAACCUCGGAACUGCCUUCAAAACUGGCGACCUGGACUCAAGCAGAGGCAAGUGGAAUUGCGAGUGUAGAGGUGAAAUUCGUAGAUAUUCGCAGGAACACCAGUGGCGAAGGCGACUUGCUGGGCUUGUAGUGACGCUGAGACGCGAAAGCGUGGGGAGCAAACAGGAUUAGAUACCCAGGUAGUCCCUGAGCGGGCUGGCAAGGCGCAU